rnacentral:rRNA from 1 species
GGUGGUGCAUGGUUGCCGUCAGCUCGUGUCGUGAGAUGUUGGGUUAAGUCCCGCAACGAGCGCAACCCUUAUUACUAGUUGCCAGCAUUUAGUUGGGCACUCUAGUGAGACUGCCGGUGACAAACCGGAGGAAGGUGGGGACGACGUCAAAUCAUCAUGCCCCUUAUGACCUGGGCUACACACGUGCUACAAUGGAUGGUACAACGAGUCGCGAGACCGCGAGGUUUAGCUAAUCUCUUAAAACCAUUCUCAGUUCGGAUUGUAGGCUGCAACUCGCCUACAUGAAGCCGGA